rnacentral:snRNA from 1 species
GUGCUCGCUUCAGCAGCAAAUAUAUUAAAAUUGGAACACUAUAGAGAAUAUUAGCAUGGUUCCUGUGCAAGGAUGACAUGCAAAUUCAUGAGAGUUCUCUAUUUUUU